rnacentral:rRNA from 1 species
UACGGGAGGCAGCAGUGGGGAAUAUUGCACAAUGGGCGCAAGCCUGAUGCAGCCAUGCCGCGUGUAUGAAGAAGGCCUUCGGGUUGUAAAGUACUUUCAGUCGUGAGGAAGGUGUUAAGGUUAAUAACCUUAGCAAUUGACGUUAGCGACAGAAGAAGCACCGGCUAACUCCGUGCCAGCAGCCGCGGUAAUACGGAGGGUGCGAGCGUUAAUCGGAAUUACUGGGCUAAAGGGCACGCAGGCGGUUAAUUAAGUUGGAUGUGAAAUCCCCGGGCUUAACCUGGGAAUGGCAUUCAAGACUGGUUAGCUAGAGUCUUGUAGAGGGGGUAGAAAUUCCAUGUGUAGCGGUGAAAUGCGUAGAGAUGUGGAGGAAUACCGGGUGGCGAAGGCGGCCCCUGGGACAAAGACUGACGCUCAUGUGCGAAAAGCGUGGGGAGCAAAACAGGGAUUAGAUACC